CCUACGGGUGGCAGCAGUGAGGAAUAUUGGUCAAUGGGCGGAAGCCUGAACCAGCCAAGCCGCGUGAAGGACGAAGGUGCCAAGCAUUGUAAACUUCUUUUGUCAGGGGACAAAAUCGGGGACGAGAGCCUGACUGAGGGUACUUGAAGAAAAAGCAUCGGCUAACUCCGUGCCAGCAGCCGCGGAAAUACGGAGGAUGCGAGCGUUAUCCGGAUUUAUUGGGUUUAAAGGGUGCGUAGGCGGGAUGCUAAGUCAGCGGUAAAAUCCAGGGGCUCAACCUCGCUAAGCCGUUGAAACUGGCGGUCUUGAGAUGGCGAGAGGUAUGCGGAAUGCGUAGUGUAGCGGUGAAAUGCUUAGAUAUCGCGCAGAACUCCGAUUGCGAAGGCAGCAUACCGGCGGCCAACUGACGCUGAGGCACGAAAGCGUGGGUAUCGAACAGGAUUAGAUACCCUGAUAGUC
rnacentral:rRNA from 1 species